ACAGGUGAGUAACACGUAGGCAACCUGCCCUUCAGACUGGGAUAACGUCGGGAAACCGAUGCUAAUACCGGAUAGGUUGAUCUCCUGCCUGGGAGGUCAUGGAAAGACGGAGCAAUCUGUCACUGAGGGAUGGGCCUGCGGCGCAUUAGCUAGUUGGUGGGGUAACGGCUCACCAAGGCGACGAUGCGUAGCCGACCUGAGAGGGUGAUCGGCCACACUGGGACUGAGACACGGCCCAGACUCCUACGGGAGGCAGCAGUAGGGAAUCUUCGGCAAUGGGCGAAAGCCUGACCGAGCAACGCCGCGUGAGUGAUGAAGGGUCUCGGCUCGUAAAACUCUGUUGCCAGAGAAGAACGUCGGGUAGAGUAACUGCUAUCCGAGUGACGGUAUCUGAGAAGAAAGCCCCGGCUAACUACGUGCCAGCAGCCGCGGUAAUACGUAGGGGGCAAGCGUUGUCCGGAAUUAUUGGGCGUAAAGCGCGCGCAGGCGGUUCAUUAAGUCUGGGGUUUAAGUUCGGGGCUCAACCCCGUAUCGCCCUGGAAACUGGGGAACUGGAGUGUAGGAGAGGAAAGUGGAAUUCCACGUGU
rnacentral:rRNA from 1 species